CCUACGGGUGGCAGCAGUGAGGAAUAUUGGUCAAUGGACGAGAGUCUGAACCAGCCAAGUAGCGUGAAGGAUGACUGCCCGAUGGGUGGUAAACUUCUUUUAUAGGGGAAUAAAAUGUUCCACGUGUGGGAUUUUGUAUGGACCAUAUGAAUAAGGAUCGGCUAACUCCGUGCCAGCAGCCGCGGUAAUACGGAGGAGCCGAGCGUUAUCCGGAUUUAGUGGGUUUAAAGGGAGCGUAGGGGGAUUGUUAAGUCAGUUGUGAAAGUUUGCGGCUCAACCGUAAAAUUGCAGUUGAAACGGGCAGUCUUGAGUACAGUAGAGGUGGGCGGAAUUCGUUGUGUCGCGG
rnacentral:rRNA from 1 species